rnacentral:rRNA from 1 species
UACGUAGGGUGCGAGCGUUGUCCGGAAUUACUGGGCGUAAAGAGCUCGUAGGUGGUUUGUCGCGUUGUUCGUGAAAUUCCCUGGCUUAACUGGGGGCGUGCGGGCGAUACGGGCAGACUGGAGUACUGCAGGGGAGACUGGAAUUCCUGGUGUAGCGGUGGAAAUGCGCAGAUAUCAGGAGGAACACCGGUGGCGAAGGCGGGUCUCUGGGCAGUAACUGACGCUGAGGAGCGAAGGCGUGGGGAGCGAACAGG